rnacentral:misc_RNA from 1 species
GAUGAAGAACGUAGCGAAAUGCGAUACGUAGUGUGAAUUGCAGAAUUCAGUGAAUCAUCGAAUCUUUGAACGCACAUUGCACCUCUCGGUAUUCCGGGAGGUAUGCCUGUUCGAGCGUCAUUUGUACCCUCAAGCUCUGCUUGGUGUUGGGUGUUUGUUCCGCCUCUGUGUGUGAACUCGCCACAAAACAAUUGGCAGCCGGCGUACUUGUUUCGGAGCGCAGCACAUUUUGCGAUCCAGAUCAACGUACAGCGGCAUCCAAGAAGCCUUAUUUAACGCUCUUGACCUCGGAUCAGGUAGGGAUACCCGCUGAACUUAAGCAUAUCAUAAGCGGAGGA